UAAUAAUCAAAUAAAAUGAUCUGGAGGGCCGGAUAGAAUUACCUGGAGGGCCGGAUCCGGCCCCCGGGCCUUGACUUUGACUCAUGUGCUGUAAAGGAUGCAGCUGAAUGAUCUGGUGUCUCCAUUCUUGAAGGUCCAGCCUCCGGUCCUCCAGGCGCCGGUGGAGUGGAGGACGAGGUCGUCCAGAAGGUGUCAGAAGAGAGCCAGGGAGCCUCAGAGGAGAUGAGACCAUGAGGGGCCUCCAGCAAAGCAGCAGCGUCUGGCUCCUCCUCCUGCUGCUGCUGCUCCGCCCUUUGCUCCACAGGUCCUGUGGAGCGGAGAGGUCCAUCUGGGAGGAGUCAGAAGGUCAACACGACAGCAGCUGUCUGUCAAACUCCUGAUGGAGCCGGAGGGAGACCAGGAACCUCCGGCCAAACGGCGGCGUCCGGGAGCUGCUGCUCCGCCCACCUCCAGCUGACCUCCAGCAUGCAGUUCACCUCUGUGUGAACUUGCAUUCCUUGUUUGUUGUCUUAGUUUAAACUGAACAGUCUUUAUUUAUUAGAUUGUUCAAUGUUUUGUGUUUUACUGUUUAUUGAUAAGUUCCCUAAUAAUUAUUGUAUUUCUUGGAGGGAACUUUUAAAAUAUUUAUUGUUUUUCAGUUGUUAGAUUUGUGUUUAGAUGUGUUUAUAUUUUGAAUUUUACUGAAGCUAAAUGUUCUUUUUAGCUUUAACCUGAACAAUCUGCACAUUUAUUGUUUCUUUAUUUAUUGGUCAGUUUGUUCAGUGUUUCAUAUUUUAGAUUAGACUUUUAGAUUUCAUAGGUUUCCUUUUCAAGUUUUCCUUUUCUGAACCUGAAGAUCUUUGACGUGAUCUUUACAGAUUUUUUUUAAAGCAUGUUUUUAGAGAAGAAGCUGAAAACUCCACAGUGUUUCUUUCAAACAUUUGAAUUGAAAAAAUG